CCGAGAGCGAUCCCGAGGUCCCUGACCACGUCCCCACUGCGCUUUCGCGAGCCUCUUGCUGCUGAGAUUCAUCAGUGGUGCAGCUGGAUUUCAUCUGACACAGUCCACAAAGAGCUUGCUUGCUGGGACUCCCUUGGCUGAGAUGGAAGCAUGAAGUUCCUGCAGCCCCAGAGGAGUGUGUUAGAUGGCAUCGUGAAAGUAGAGCAAAGAAGCUGGAAUCCAGCUACAGCUAAAAUAUAGGGGUACUUUAAAAUGAGAAUAUUUCUUCACUCUGGACCAGGACAAGCCUCCUCUAGAAAGUGCAAGAGACUUCAG
rnacentral:lncRNA from 1 species